rnacentral:rRNA from 1 species
CUCCUACGGGAGGGCAGCAGUGGGGAAUUUUGGCGCAAUGGGGAAACCCUGACGCAGCAACGCCGCGUGGAGGAUGAAGUAUCGUCGGUACGUAACUCCUUUCGAUGGGGAAGAUGAUGACGGUACCCAUAGAAGAAGCCCGGCUAACUUCGUGCCAGCCGCCGCGGUAAUUC